AGUAUUUGGAGCCCCGCCGGACCGUCGCAUUUCAGCCUCGGAUGCCGGCGCGAUGCCUCUGUUCACAGCCAACCCGUUCGAUCAUGACGUGGGUCAGAAGAUCAUGUUGGAUCACCUGGCAUUGCUGUUACAGAGUCGGAUGAGCCACCAUAUGAACUGAGCCAUCUCUCCAGCCCAAGACAGG